rnacentral:rRNA from 1 species
AGGAUGAACGCUGGCGGCGUGCCUAAUACAUGCAAGUCGAGCGGUAAGGCCACUUCGGUGGUACACGAGCGGCGGACGGCUGAGUAACACGUAGGAACGUACCCCAAAGUGAGGCAUAAGCACCAGAAAUGGUGUCUAAUACCGCAUGUGGCCUAACAGGCUAAAGCUCCGGCGCUUUGGGAACGGCCUGCGCAUGAUUAGCUUGUUGGUGAGGUAAAAGCUCACCAAGGCAGUGAUCAUUAGCUGGUCUGAGAGGAUGACCAGCCAGACUGGGACUGAGAACGGCCCAGACUCCUACGGGAGGCAGCAGUAGGGAAUUUUCCACAAUGGGCGAAAGCCUGAUGGAGCAACGCCGCGUGCAGGAUGAAGGCUCUAGGGUCGUAAACUGCUUUUUAUCUGUGACGAAUAUGACGGUAGCAGAUGAAUAAGGAUCGGCUAACUCCGUGCCAGCAGCCGC